GGAUAACUCCGGGAAACCGGAGCUAAUACCGGAUAGUUCCUUGAACCGCAUGGUUCAAGGAUGAAAGACGGUUUCGGCUGUCACUUACAGAUGGACCCGCGGCGCAUUAGCUAGUUGGUGGGGUAAUGGCUCACCAAGGCGACGAUGCGUAGCCGACCUGAGAGGGUGAUCGGCCACACUGGGACUGAGACACGGCCCAGACUCCUACGGGAGGCAGCAGUAGGGAAUCUUCCGCAAUGGACGAAAGUCUGACGGAGCAACGCCGCGUGAGUGAUGAAGGUUUUCGGAUCGUAAAGCUCUGUUGUUAGGGAAGAACAAGUGCGAGAGUAACUGCUCGCACCUUGACGGUACCUAACCAGAAAGCCACGGCUAACUACGUGCCAGCAGCCGCGGUAAUACGUAGGUGGCAAGCGUUGUCCGGAAUUAUUGGGCGUAAAGGGCUCGCAGGCGGUUUCUUAAGUCUGAUGUGAAAGCCCCCGGCUCAACCGGGGAGGGUCAUUGGAAACUGGGAAACUUGAGUGCAGAAGAGGAGAGUGGAAUUCCACGUGUAGCGGUGAAAUGCGUAGAGAUGUGGAGGAACACCAGUGGCGAAGGCGACUCUCUGGUCUGUAACUGACGCUGAGGAGCGAAAGCGUGGGGAGCGAACAGGAUUAGAUACCCUGGUAGUCCACGCCGUAAACGAUGAGUGCUAAGUGUUAGGGGGUUUCCGCCCCCUUAGUGCUGCAGCUAACGCAUUAAGCACUCCGCCUGGGGAGUACGGUCGCAAGACUGAAACUCAAAGGAAUUGACGGGGGCCCGCACAAGCGGUGGAGCAUGUGGUUUAAUUCGAAGCAACGCGAAGAACCUUACCAGGUCUUGACAUCCUCUGACAACCCUAGAGAUAGGGCUUUCCCUUCGGGGACAGAGUGACAGGUGGUGCAUGGUUGUCGUCAGCUCGUGUCGUGAGAUGUUGGGUUAAGUCCCGCAACGAGCGCAACCCUUGAUCUUAGUUGCCAGCAUUUAGUUGGGCACUCUAAGGUGACUGCCGGUGACAAACCGGAGGAAGGUGGGGAUGACGUCAAAUCAUCAUGCCCCUUAUGACCUGGGCUACACACGUGCUACAAUGGACAGAACAAAGGGCUGCGAGACCGCAAGGUUUAGCCAAUCCCAUAAAUCUGUUCUCAGUUCGGAUCGCAGUCUGCAACUCGACUGCGUGAAGCUGGAAUCGCUAGUAAU
rnacentral:rRNA from 1 species